GGCGAACGGGUGAGUAACACGUGGGUGAUCUGCCCUGCACUUCGGGAUAAGCCUGGGAAACUGGGUCUAAUACCGGAUAGGAGCCAUUUUUAGUGUGAUGGUUGGAAAGUUUUUUCGGUGUAGGAUGAGCUCGCGGCCUAUCAGCUUGUUGGUGGGGUAAUGGCCUACCAAGGCGGCGACGGGUAGCCGGCCUGAGAGGGUGGACGGCCACAUUGGGACUGAGAUACGGCCCAG
rnacentral:rRNA from 1 species